rnacentral:lncRNA from 1 species
UCCAACUUCAGGUUUGGCACUGGGUUCUUCUUUGGGAAUGGUGCACUCUAGAAUAAAAUCUGCCAAAGCCUGGGUUUUAAUAGAUGGCAUGGGGAGGUAUUUUAUGUCGAACUCCCCGAGUUCAACAAUCCACUUGGCCAGCUGACCUAAGGUCUCAAGUUGAUAGAGUAUUGAUCUGAUGGGCUGGUUGGUGAGGACGUUGAUCGUAUACGCUUGAAAAUAUGGGCACAACC